GGCCUAGCUUACUAUUUCUCUUUCCUUGCUUUUCCCAAUGGCCAAUGAAACUAUAACACACACUAUAUUAUUUUUGCUUUCAUAUUCAACAAGUUUCGCGGAUAUGAAUAAUUAUGGAAAAAAAAAGGAAUAAGGAAGGAGAGGCAGAAAUUUAGGCGCCAUUAAUUAUAUAUUUUUUCGUUUUCUUUUCCCAAUGGCCAAAAAAAAUAUAACACAAGCCAUACUCAUAUUCCUUCCAAAUUCAACUUCAUUUCAAAUUCAAGUAAAAUUAGGUGAAGUUAGGAUAGGUCAAAUUAGGCUGAGUUAGGAUAGGUCAAAAUAGGGGUUAGGUCAAUUAGAUUAGGUUAGGAUAGGUCAAAAUAGGGGUUAGGUCAAUUAGAUUAGGUUAGGAUAGGUCAAAAUAGGGGUUAGGUCAUGUGAGAUUAGGUUGCAAUAUAAAUUAGGAUAGGUCAAAAUAGGGGUUAGGUCAUGUGAGAUUAGGUUGCAAUAUAAGUUAGGUUAGGAUAGGUCAAACUAGGGGCUAGAUUGUUAGAUAAGGUCACAAUGGGUUAGGUCAGGAUAGGUCAAAAUAGGGGUCAGGUCAUGUUAAAUUGGGUUACUAUAUAGGUUAGGUUAGGAUAGGUCAAAAUAGGGGUUAAGUCAGGUUAGAUUAGGUUACAAUAUAGGUUAGGUUAGGGUUAGGUCAAAUUAGGUCACAAUAGUUUAUUAGGUUAGGACAGGUCAAAAUAGGGGGUAGAUUAAUUAGGUUAUGAUAUAGGUUAGGGUAGGUCAAAAUAGAAAGGAAAAACAAAAGAAAAAAAGGAAAAUGAGAAAAAAAAUUGCCUGUCUAUUAACGCACACCUUACUGAUCAAUACUCGGAAAAAAAGGAGAAAAAUAAAAUAAAAGAAAAAAUAAGGUUAGGGUAGGUUAGAUUGCAUUACGAUGGACUAGGUUACAAUAUAAUGGUAGGUUAGAUUAGGUUACAAUAGCUAGGUUAGGUUAGGUUAGGUUAGGUUACACUAUCAGGCUUGGUUAGGUUAGGUUACAAUAUCAGGCUAGGUUAGGUUAGAUCACAAUAUUAGGCUACGUUAGGUUAGGUUACAAUAUCAGGCUAGGUUAGGUUAGGUUAGGUUACACUAUCAGGCUAGGUUAGGUUAGGUUAGGUUACAAUAUCAGGCAAGGUUAGGUUAGGUUAGGUUAGGUUACAUAAAACAAAUCAACUAACAGCAUGGUUUAUCAAAAUUUUAAAGGUUACAAGACAGAAAUAUUGUGUUUAUGGACUGCGCCUACUUCCAUUUCUGUUCCUAUUAAGUCUUUGGUACAGCUUCAUCUAUACACCAGCUGAACAGACCUAACAGAGACCACACUCAGCCCGAACACGUCAUAUUCUCGUCCGCACCAGGAUGCAAACACUAGCCUAUCAAUAUACAAAUGCUUUCAUGUGUAUAUACCAGCUUCGGAAAUGGUUGCCUUGAGUGUAUGUACAAUAGUCGAUUCAUACGUUAAGGUGUUGAUGUGUGUGUUGGCUUUGAGUAUACGAGGAAUGGUUGGUUCGAGUCACUGUUGCCAGAUUAUCGUACUCAGAGCAUAGUAUUUACUGGUUUCUGACGCCUAACUAUUGCCAAGAAACAUCAGGAUCUAACUCUUUUAAUGAUAACUAUAAAAGAGUUUCGUUAUUGGAGCCCAGAAGACAGUUUUGGGGUAGGAAGUUGGGAAAUAUAAGCAGCUGAGUACGACAAUCUGGCAAUGUUGGUUUGAGUAUAUUCAUGAAAAAUGUGAAGUAUUAUUUAUGGCAUCGGGUGAAAAAAACUGGACCACAUGAACUGAAUCUGUGUGAAUAAGUAGAGGUGACUGAACAAAUAUAAACUAGACAUUCUCAUUGGUAGCUACAUGACACAAAAUUGUAUAGCCAAUCAUAUUACAUUCUGACUGAUGCAUGACACACACACACACACACACACACACA